GACGAACGCUGGCGGCGUGCCUAAUACAUGCCAGUCGAGCGGACGAAUCGAAAGCUUGCUUUUGAUUCGUUAGCGGCGGACGGGUGAGUAACACGUGGGCAACCUGCCCUGUAGACGGGGAUAACACCGAGAAAUCGGUGCUAAUACCGGAUAACACGAAAUGUCGCAUGACGUUUCGUUGAAAGACGGCGCAAGCUGUCGCUACAGGAUGGGCCCGCGGCGCAUUAGCUAGUUGGUGAGGUAACGGCUCACCAAGGCGACGAUGCGUAGCCGACCUGAGAGGGUGAUCGGCCACACUGGGACUGAGACACGGCCCAGACUCCUACGGGAGGCAGCAGUAGGGAAUCUUCCGCAAUGGACGAAAGUCUGACGGAGCAACGCCGCGUGAGCGAAGAAGGCCUUCGGGUCGUAAAGCUCUGUUGUUAGGGAAGAACAAGUUACGCAGUAACUGGCGUUACCGUGACGGUACCUAACGAGAAAGCCACGGCUAACUACGUG
rnacentral:rRNA from 1 species